AGAGUUUGAUCCUGGCUCAGGAUGAACGCCUGGCGGCGUGCCUAAUACAUGUAAGUCGAACGGAAGAUGUAGCAAUAUGUCUUUAGUGGCGAACGGGUGAGUAACGCGUUGGUGACCUGCCCCGAAGAGAGGGAUAACAGACCGAAAGGUUUGCUAAUACCGCGUAAUUUCCUUCUAGUUAGAGAGGAGGGAAGAAAGGCCGAAAGGCGCUUUGGGAGGGGCCUGCGUCCCAUCAGCUAGUUGGCGAGGUAAAAGCUCACCAAGGCGAUGACGGGUAGGGGACCUGAGAGGGUGACCCCCCACAAUGGAACUGAAACACGGUCCAUACACCUACGGGUGGCAGCAGUAGGGAAUAUUGGUUAAUGGGCGAAAGCCCGACCCAGCAACGCCGCGUGCACGAAGAAGGCCUUCGGGUUGUAAAGUGCUUUUUAGUGGGAUGAGGAAGGACAGUACCACUAGAAUAAGUCUCGGCUAACUACGUGCCAGCAGCCGCGGUAACACGUAGGAGACGAGCGUUAUCCGGAUUUACUGGGUGUAAAGCGCGUGCAGGCGGUCGGGUAAGUUGGAUGUGAAAGCUCCUGGCUUAACUGGGAGAGGUCGUUCAAAACUGCCGGGCUAGAGUGCAACAGAGGGGAGUGGAAUUCCGAGUGUAGCGGUAAAAUGCAUAGAUAUUCGGAAGAACACCAGUGGCGAAGGCGGCUCUCUGGGUUGCAACUGACGCUCAGACGCGAAAGCUAGGGUAGCGAACGGGAUUAGAGACCCCGGUAGUCCUAGCCGUAAACGAUGUGGACUUGGCGUGGGUGGGUUGAAAUCCAUCUGUGCCGAAGCAAACGCGAUAAGUCCACCACCUGGGGACUACGGCCGCAAGGUUAAAACUCAAAGGAAUUG
rnacentral:rRNA from 1 species